CCUACGGGUGGCAGCAGUGAGGAAUAUUGGUCAAUGGGCGAGAGCCUGAACCAGCCAAGUCGCGUGAAGGAUGACGGCCCUACGGGUUGUAAACUUCUUUUGUCAGGGAGCAAUUGAGUCCACGUGUGGGCUUAGCGAGAGUACCUGAAGAAAAAGCAUCGGCUAACUCCGUGCCAGCAGCCGCGGUAAUACGGAGGAUGCGAGCGUUAUACGGAUUUAUUGGGGUUAAAGGGUGCGGAGUCGGAAUAUCAAGUCAGCGGUAAAAAUUCGGGGCUCAACCCCGUCGUGCCGUUGAAACUGAUGUUCUGGAGUGGGCGAGAAGUAUGCGGAAUGCGUGGUGUCGCGGUGACAUGCAUAGAUAUCACGCAGAACUCCGAUUGCGAAGGCAGCAUACCGGCGCCCAACUGACGCUGAAGCACGAAAGCGUGGGUAUCGAACAGGAUUAGAUACCCGUGUAGUC
rnacentral:rRNA from 1 species